UUAAAUGUAUCACGUAGUAAAUCGACAGUAAACAGUGCCAGUUUGUACGAUGUUAGUUGUGAGACACUAUGCUUCACGGGUAUACUCUCCGCCACACGGCUACACUGGCUACGCUUAAUCGCGGGUAUACUCUCCGCCACACGGCUACACAGGCUACGCUUAAUCGCGGGUAUACUCUCCGUCACACGGCUACAC